rnacentral:rRNA from 1 species
UACGAAGGGGGCUAGCGUUGCUCGGAAUCACUGGGCGUAAAGCGCACGUAGGCGGCUUUUUAAGUCAGGGGUGAAAUCCUGGAGCUCAACUCCAGAACUGCCUUUGAUACUGAGAAGCUUGAGUCCGGGAGAGGUGAGUGGAACUGCGAGUGUAGAGGUGAAAUUCGUAGAUAUUCGGAGGAACACCAGUGGCGAAGGCGACUUACUGGACACAUAUUGACGCUGAGGUGCGAAAGCGUGGGGAGCAAACAGG